rnacentral:rRNA from 1 species
GGUAACGGGGAAUUAGGGUUCGAUUCCGGAGAGGGAGCCUGAGAAACGGCUACCACAUCUAAGGAAGGCAGCAGGCGCGCAAAUUACCCAAUGAAAACAGUUUCGAGGUAGUGACGAGAAAUAACAAUACAGGGCAUUUUAUGCUCUGUAAUUGGAAUGAUGGGAAUCCAAAACCCUUUCAGAGUAACAAUUGGAGGGCAAGUCUGGUGCCAGCAGCCGCGGUAAUUCCAGCUCCAAUAGCGUAUAUUAGAGUUGUUGCAGUUAAAAAGCUCGUAGUUGGAUUUCUGUCGUGGUCUUCCGGUUUCGCCCGUAUGGGUGUUUACUUGGUUAGCCCUCGGCAUUCUUCCGGGUUCCUUCCCCGCUUCACUGCGUGGUUGGGUUUUCCGGAACUUUUACUUUGAGAAAAAUAGAGUGUUUCAAGCAGGCUUUCGCCUUGAAUACUUCAGCAUGGAAUAAUAAGAUAGGACUUUGGUUCUAUUUUGUUGGUUUCUAGGACUAAAGUAAUGAUUAAUAGGGACAGUUGGGGGCAUUCGUAUUUAACUGUCAGAGGUGAAAUUCUUAGAUUUG